rnacentral:rRNA from 1 species
UAGGGACUCUUCGGCAAUGGGGGGAACCCUGACCGAGCAACGCCGCGUGAGUGAAGAAGGUUUUCGGAUCGUAAAGCUCUGUUGUUAAGGAAGAACGAGUGUGAGAAUGGAAAGUUCAUGCUGUGACGGUACUUAACCAGAAAGGGACGGCUAACUACGUGCCAGCAGCCGCGGUAAUACGUAGGUCCCGAGCGUUGUCCGGAUUUAUUGGGCGUAAAGCGAGCGCAGGCGGUUAGAAAAGUCUGAAGUGAAAGGCAGUGGCUCAACCAUUGUAGGCUUUGGAAACUGUUUAACUUGAGUGCAGAAGGGGAGAGUGGAAUUCCAUGUGUAGCGGUGAAAUGCGUAGAUAUAUGGAGGAACACCGGUGGCGAAAGCGGCUCUCUGGUCUGUAACUGACGCUGAGGCUCGAAAGCGUGGGGAGCGAACAGG